rnacentral:rRNA from 2 species
UCUAAAACACCGAUAAGGGUAUACGGUGGAUGCCUUGGCACAAAAAGCCGACGAAGGACGCAGGAGCCGGCGAUACGCCUCGGGGAGCUGGCAAACAAGCUUUGAUCCGGGGAUGUCCGAAUGGGGAAACCUUAGCAAGUAAACCUUGCUAGCAUUCGUACGUGGUGUACGAGUAGCGGGAACCAUGCGAAGUGAAACAUCUCAGUAGCAUGUGGAAAAGAAAACUAAUGACUAGCUUUUUAUCUCAAGGCUGAUUCCAUGAAGCCUUGAGAUUAGAGAGCUAGUUGCAUUCCCCUAGUAGUGGCGAGCGAAAGGGGAACAGUCCAAACCAUAUUCAUGUUAGAAAUGUAGUCUCUAAUUUAUUAGUGGUUGCGUUUCUUUUAAAGGUUACAGCCGUUGUGAGUAUGGCGUUGCAAGACUAAUCGAUCGCUUCUGUAAAAGCGAGGGAAAAACGUGUUGUGUUGUCUAGUAGAACACGCCUGGAAAGGCGGACCAAAGAGGGUGAUAGUCCCGUACGCGAAAGACCACAAUUAUUUCCUGAUUGGUUCUUAAGUACGGCCGGACACGUGAAAGCCGGUCGGAAACUGGGUCGACUACGAUCUAAGACUAAAUACUUUUUGUGACCGAUAGUGAACAAGUACCGUGAGGGAAAGGUGAAAAGCAGCCCGGUGAGGGCGAUGAAAUAGUAUCUGAAACCGUAUAUCUACAAGGAGCGGAACACCGCAAGGUGAACCGCGUGCCUAUUGAAGAAUGACCCGACGAGUUAACGUAUGCUGCUUGUUUAAGUCUCUUUUGAGACGAAGACAUAGUGAAAGCGAGGGUUAAUAGCCCGUAUUAAUCAAAAAAUCAAUUUUUUGAUUAAAGGUGGCAUGCGUUAGACCCGAAACCCGGUGAGCUACUCAUGGUCAGGAUGAACUCAAGGUAAAACUUGGGGGAGGUCCGAACCCACUAUUGUUGCAAAAAUAGGGGAUGAACUGUGAGUAGGGGAGAAAUUCCAAUCGAACUGGGUGAUAGCUGGUUCUCCUCGAAAUAGCUUUAGGGCUAGCCUUGUGAAUAAACCACGAGAGGUAGAGCACUGGAUGAGUUGUGGGGGAGCAAUCCCUCGCGCUGAACCAACCUCCGAAUUCUCGUGGUGGUUCCACAGGAGUCAGACUGUGAGGUCUAAGCUUCACUAGUCUAAAGGGAAAGAGCCCAGAUCGUCGUUUAAGGUCCCUAAAUCAAAGCUAUAGUGUAAAGGAUGUUUCUGUCCUCAGACAGGUAGGAGGUUGGCUUAGAGGUAGCCACCCUUUAAAGAGUGUGUAACAACUCACUACUCGAGUUUCCUAUUUAUAGGAAUGGGACAGGGGCGCCGACAAUGUAUUGGGACUAAGCUUUGUACCGAAAACACGAGCUCUAUCCGCCUCGCGGCGGAUACGAGCGGUAGAGGAGCAUUGUCAGCUGCAUCGAAGCUGGACCCGCGAGGGCCGGUGGAGUGCUGACAAGAGAGAAUGUUGGGAUAAGUAAUAAUUAUGCAGGUGAGAAUCCUGCACGCCGAAUAUCCAAGGUUUCCUGGGCAAUGAUUAUCAGCCCAGGGUUAGCCGGGCCUUAGUGUGGUGCCAAAUGGUGCUACGCGAUGGACAAGACGGUUGAUAUUCCGUCGCUACUGUUAUGUUAUUCAAGGAGCGACGCAUCAUGGUAGUACAAGCUGGUUUUGACUAUACCAGUUUCUGAGUUCGUAGGAGUCUUGCUUUCCAGGCAAAUCCGGAAGGCAGUCCCGAUUUAUCGGGACGCUCUGAAAACUUGGAGAAAUUCCGCAAGGGAAAUUUGUGUGACCCAGGGUGCCAAGAAAAACUUCGUGAUCAAGCAUGAUAGUAUCCGUACCGCAAACCGACACCGGUGGAUGAGGAGAGUAUCCUCAGGCGAACGAGACAAUAUUUGUUCAGGAACUCGGCAAAAAAGCGGACGUACCUUCGGUAUAUGUCCUGCCCCGAGUAAUCGGGGUCGCAGCGACUGAUCCCCUCCCGACUGUUUAACAAAAACACAGGUCCGUGCCAAAGCUAAAAGCUGAUGUAUACGGGCUGAUGCCUGGCCAGUGUCAGAAGGUUAAACUUGCUUGCGCAAGCAGGUAAGCCAAGCCCUGAUGAACGCCGGCGGUAACUAUGAAGAAGACGUCGUAGUUAUAAAAUUUGGCUAUUUGCGGGAACAUCUGGUUAAGCUCAAAGUACUAGUUCGAAAGAGCAGUAAAAAUCUUUGAGAUACAGACAAUCCGCAGGAAAGACUCGCAAAAAAUCCUCAAAGGAGUAAAAUUCUAUGAGCGAUUCAUGGCUAAAAGCCAUAUCUCCGGAAAUUGGUCAUUAUCUGGCCGGUUUCGCGGAUGGUGAAGGAAGCUUCAACGUUUCUCUUCGCAAAAGACCAGACCAUAAAAUGGGCUGGCAAGUAGUUCCCUGCUUCAAUGUCUCACAAAGAGACCCGACAAUCCUGGCUUUGUUCAAAAAGCAUUUGGGUUGCGGCCGAUUUGUGACUCGCAGGGAUGGAGUGCACUAUUAUGUAGUGCAAAAUCCAACUGCUAUACAAGAAAGGGUUAUUCCUUUCUUCCAGAGGUUUAAGUUUCUAUCCUCGAAAAUGAAAAGAAACUUCAUGCUGUUUCAGCAAAUCGUAGAGUUGAUGAAUGGUAAAGGCCAUCUAAAUUCUAACGGCUUGCUGGAAAUAAUCCAGAUCCGAGAGCAAUUAAAUCUUGGAAAAGGCAGAAAAUGAAAGUACAGCAUUAAUGAUUAUCAAGGAUUUUUAAGCGAGAAUCCUCAGAGACUAAACGCCAAACUCCAGCUAGAUGCUGGAGAUGAUAUAGUCCGAUCUCAUGGGAGACCAUGAGCUAACAUAAAUGAACCGUCCUAUGGUAGAGGAAUUUACUUCAGCAAUGAAGGUUUUGCUGCCAUAGUAAAAUGUAGCUAUAUCGGAAAAACUCUCUAUUGGUACGAGACAAUUCCGAGGGAAGACUUGUUACGUAAUUAAUUACGUAAUUUGAACCCGUAGAGACUAUACGCUGCACUUUGAUUUCGGUCAGAGAAAAUAGAGUCCGUUCUAUAUGGCGACAUAUAGAGGUUAACAGAAAUGAUUAACCCCUCAAUUAAUUAAUUGAGAGUAACAAGCGAAAAGCGAAAUUCCUUGUCGUGUAAGUUACGACCUGCACGAAUGGCAUAACGAGUGGGGGACUGUCUUAACAAAUAGCUCGAUGAAUUUGCAUUAUCGGUAAAGAUGCCGUUUACCCGCAGCAAGACGGAAAGACCCUAUGAAGCUUUACUAUAGCGUGUCAUUGGGUCAAGAUUUAUUCUGUUUAGCAUAGGUGGGAGACUAUGAGGCUGUCGCGCUAGCGAUAGCGGAGUCGCAAUGUGAAAUACCACCCUGAAUGAAUUUUGAUUCUAAUUUCAAUGUAACCAGUUGAAAGACAGUGGCUCGUGGGUAGUUUAACUGGGGCGGUUGCCUCCUAAAUGGUAACGGAGGCGUUUAAAGGUCAGCUAAGCGUGGAUGGAAAUCACGCUGGUCGUGCAAAGGCAUAAGCUGGCUUAACUGCAAGGCAAGCACGCCGCGCAGGUGCGAAAGCAGAACUUAGUGAUCCGACCAUCCAUAGUGGUAUGGUGGAAGCUCAACGGAUAAAAGCUACUCUAGGGAUAACAGGCUGAUCCAGUCCAAGAGUCCACAUCGACGACUGGGUUUGGCACCUCGAUGUCGGCUCAUCACAUCCUGGGGGUGAAGAAGCUCCCAAGGGUUAGGCUGUUCGCCUAUUAAAGUGGUACGCGAGCUGGGUUCAAAACGUCGUGAGACAGUUUGGUCCUUAUCUGCUGUGGGCGUUCGAUACUUGAGAGGGUUCUCCGAUAGUACGAGAGGACCUCGGAGAAUAGGGCUCUGGUGUACCGGUUGUGGUGUCAACUGCAUUGCCGGGUAGCUAAACCCUAGUUUGGAUAAGCGCUGAAGGCAUAUAAGCGCGAAGCCGUCCUCAAGAUUAGGUAUCGUUGCAGCGCAAGCUGCGAGAGGUUCGGGGGAGACUACCCCGCAUAUAGGGUACAGGUGUAAGGCCAGCAAUGGCUUCAGCCGAGUGCUACUAAUCAACC